rnacentral:lncRNA from 1 species
CUCUCCUCCUAUCUAUUCAUUGCUCUCUCUUCUCCACUAUAUCUAAUUCGCUUUUCCCUUCUCUAUUGUUUUUUCUCUCUCUUCUCACUCAUACUCUGCUCUCUCUUUUCCAUUGUCUUUAUCUCUCUCACUCUUCUUCACUAUUUGUCUCACUCUCUUUUCUACGGUCUGUGUCUCUCUCUUCUUCACUAUCUUUGUCUCUCUUUCUCAUUUCCAUUUUCUGUGUCAAUGACUCUCUUCUCCACUGUCUAUUUCUCUCUCUCUCUCUCUUUUCCAUUGUCUGUGUCUCUCUCUGUCUUUUCUACUUUAUGAGGCUCUCUCUCUGUUUUAAAUAUCUGGUAAUCACUCUUUCUCUUUUCCACACACAAACACUAUCUCUUUCUCUUCUCAAAUAUUUAGCUCUCUCUCUUCUCUACUAUUUAUCUCUCUCCCUCUCUUCUCCACUGUCUAUUUCUCUCUCUCGCUCUUCUCCACUGUCUAUUUCUCUCUCUCUUCUGUCUCUCUCUUCUCCACUGUCUAUCUAUACUCUCCCUCUUCUCCACUGUCUACUGUCUAUUUCACUCUCUCUCUUUUCUCCACUGUCUAUUUAUCUCGCUUGCUCUCUUCUCCUCUGUCUAUUUCUCUCUCUCUCUUCUUCACUGUCUAUUUCUCUCUCUCUUCUACCCUAUCUAUUUCUCUCUCUCUUCUCCACUGUCUAUUUCUCUCUGUCUCUCUUCUCCAGUGUCUAUUUCUCUCUCUCCCUCCCUUUCUUCUCCACUGUCUAUUUCUUUCUCUCUCUCUUCUACACUAUCUAUUUCUCUCUCUCUCUUCUCCUUGUGUCUCUCUCUCUCUCCUCCCUUAUCAUUCUCUCUCUCUCCUCCAUAUCUGUUUCUCUCUACUCUUCUCCACUGUCUGUCCUACUCUUGCUCUUCUCCACUGUUCAUUUCUCUCUCUCUCUCUCUUCUGCACUGUCUAUUUCUCUCUCUCCUCCACUGUCUCUCUCUCUCUCUCUCUCUCCCUCUUCUCCACUGUCUAUUUCUCUCUCUCUCUUUUUUUCUCCACUCUGCUCUGUUCUGUCUUGCUCUCUUCUCCCUGUCUAUUUCUCUUCUCUCUCUUCUUCACUGCUCCAUUCUACUCUCUCUUCUCCACUAUCCUUUCUCUCUCUCUUCCUCCUGUCUAUUUCUCUCUGUCUCUCUUCUCAAUUAGCUUGUAUUUCUCUCUCUCUCCCUCCUUUCUUCUCCACUGUCUAUUUCACUCUCUCUUCUCCACUGUCUGUUUCUCUCUCUCUCUCUUCUCUACUGUCUAUUUCUCUCUCUCUCUUCUCUACUAUCUAUUUCUCUCUCUCCCUAUUCUCCCCUCUCUGUGUCUCUCUCUUCUUCACUGUCUAUUUCUCACUCUCUCUUCUCCAAUGUAUGUCUUUCUCUCUUCUCUGUCUAUUUCUCUCUCUCCCUUCUACCCUAUCUAUUUCUCUCUCUCUUCUCCACUUUCUAUUUCUCUCUGUCUCUCUUCUCCACCGUCUAUUUCACUCUCUCUCCCUCCCUUUCUUCUACACUGUGUAUUUCUUUUCUCUUCUCCACUGCCUACUUCUCUCUCACUCUUCUCCACUGUGUUUCUCUCUCUCUUCUCCACUUUCCAUUUCUCUCUCUGUCUUCUCUACUGUCUGUGUCUCUCUCUCUCUCUCUCUUCUCUGCUAUUUCUCUCUCUCUCUUCUCCAGUGUGUGUAUUUCUCUCACUCUCUUCUCCACUGUCUAUUUCUCUCUCUCACUCUUCUCCACUAUUUCUCUCUCUCACUCUUCUCCACAUCUGUUUCUCUUUUCACACUUCUCACUCCUUGUGCCUUGUCUCUCUCUCCUCCACUGUCUAUUUCUCUCUCUCUCCUCCUCCUCUCUCUCUCUCUCUCUUCUCCACUGUAUAUUUCUCUCUCUCUCUCUGUUUUCUUCACUGUCUAUUUCUCUCUUUCUAUUUUCCACUGUCUCUCUCGCUCCCUUCUCCACUGUCUAUUUCUCCCUCUCUCCUAUCCACUGUUUGUUUCUUUCUCUCUCUUCUCCACUGUCUAUUUCUCCCUCUCUCUCUGUUUUCCACUGUCUGUAUCUCUAUCUCUCUUCUCGACUGUAUAUUUCUCUCUCUCUCUUCUCUACUGCCUAUUUCUCUAUCUCUCUAUUUUCCACUGUCUAUUUCUCUCUCUCUAUUCUUUUUCUUUUUUUUCUCUCACUCUCUUUUCCACUGUCUAUAUCUGUCACUCUUUUCAACUGUCUGUGUCUCUCUCUCUCCUCCACUGUAUAUUUCUCUCUCUCUCUCUCUCUCUCUCUCUCUCUCUCUCUCUUUUCCACUGUCUAUUUCUCUCUCUCUCUCUUCUCCACUGUUUCUCUCUCUCUCUCUUCUCCACUAUUUCUCUUUCACUCUCUUUUCCACUGUCUAUUUCUCCCUCUCUCUAUUCUCCACUAUUUCUCCCUCUCUCUCUUCUCCACUGUCUGUUUCUCUCUCUCUCUCUCUCUCUCUCUCUCUCUCUCUCUCUCUCUCUCUCUCUCUCUCUCUCUCCUCCAUGGUCUAUUUCUCUCUCUCUCUUCUCCACUAUCUGUGUCUCUCUCUCUCUUUUCCAUUGUAUUUAUCUCUCUCUCUUUUCCACUAUUAGUCUCACUCUCUUUUCUACUGUCUGUGUCCCCCUCUCUCUCUUCUUUACUGUUCUCUUUUCUCUCUCAACUACUGUUUCUCUUUUCCUCCUUCUACUGAUGAUUCUCUCUCUCUUUCUGAUGAUUCUCUCUCUCUCUCCACUAUCUGUGUCUCUCUUUCUCUCUUUUCCAUUGUCUUUAUCUCUCUCUCUCUUCUUCACUAUUUUUCUCACUCUCUUUUCUACGGUCGGUGUCUCUCUCUUCUUCACUAUCUUUGUCUCUCUUUCUCAUUUCCAUUUGCUGUGUCAAUGACUCUCUUCUCCAUUGUCUAUUUCUCUCUCUCUCUUUUCCAUUGUCUUGUAUGUUUCUCUAAUACUCCACUGUGAGGUCUCUCUCUCUCUUAGGUUUGUCUCACAUCUCUCUUUUCUCUUUGCUUUUCAAUUAUUUCUCUGUCUCCCUCUUCUCCAUUGUCUAUUUAACUCUCUCUCUCUCUCUUCUCCACUAUUUAUCUCUCUCCCUCUCUUCUCCACAGUCUAUUUCUCUCUCUCUCUUCUCCACUGUCUAUUUAUCUCUCUUGCUCUCUUCUCCCCUGUCUAUUUCUCUCUCUCUUCUCCACUGUCUAUUUCUCUCUGUCUCUCUUCUCCAGUGUCCCUGUUUCUCACUGUCUCUCCCUCCUUUCUUCUCCACUUUGUCACCAUUUCAACUCUCUCUCUCUUCUACUAUCUAUUUUUCUCUCUCAGCUCUUCUCCACUUGUAUUGUCUCUCUCUUCUUCACUGUCUGUUCUCUCUCUCUUUCUUCUAUUUCU